CAUGCAAGUCGAGCGGUAACAGACAUUUUGAUUUUGCUUGCAAAAUCUCGUGCUGACGAGCGGCGAACGGGUGAGUAACGCGUGGGAAUCUACCUAGUAGAAGGGGAUAGCCCGAGGAAACUCGGAUUAAUACCGUAUACGUCCUUAGGGAGAAAGAGGGCUUAGCUUUGAUGCUCUCGCUAUUAGAUGAGCCUGCGUAAGAUUAGCUUGUUGGUGAGGUAAAGGCUCACCAAGGCGACGAUCUUUAGCUGGUCUGAGAGGACGAUCAGCCACAUUGGGACUGAGACACGGCCCAGACUCCUACGGGAGGCAGCAGUGGGGAAUAUUGGACAAUGGGCGCAAGCCUGAUCCAGCCAUACCGCGUGUGUGAAGAAGGCCUUCGGGUUGUAAAGCACUUUAAGUAAGGAAGAAAAGAAUAUUGUUAAUACCAAUACUCCGUGACAUUACUUACAGAAUAAGGACCGGCUAAUUCCGUGCCAGCAGCCGCGGUAAUACGGAAGGUCCAAGCGUUAAUCGGAAUUACUGGGCGUAAAGCGCGCGUAGGUGGUUUAUUAAGUUGGGUGUGAAAGCCCCGGGCUCAACCUGGGAACUGCAUUCAAA
rnacentral:rRNA from 1 species